rnacentral:snoRNA from 1 species
GAGCAAUGAUGUGAAGAUAUGCGUACUGAUGUUUAAAAUCUAUUCUAAUGAUGUUCAUUACACUUGAACUGAGCUCA